ACCGUCCUGAGUGAAAACGUGAUCAUUUUAAGCACUCUUUAGAACACUUUCAUUUAGAUGUAAUAACAAUAACAAAGAAGAUGUGUACUGUAUUGACAUUUUUUACAAUUAAUUUUUUAAUGAUAUGUGCACAAGAAUCGACCGUUGGUGAGAAAUCUAUUUGUACAUGUAUAUAUUUUUUGCUGGUGGUGACAAUAAAGACCGAAGAUGAGGGCCAUGACGUAUAUUUAACUAAUUGUCCUCGUCUAUGAAGAUCGGUGAUAAUAAAAAACGUGGAUCUAUCAGAAUUUGAAAACAGCUCGGACGUGCAAAAUUUUGAAAACAAUACGAAAAUACCAGUGGAUUUAAACGAAGACGAAAACAAUACGCGACCGGAUGCUGCGGGAGCACGACGUUAUGGUUUUCAACAAACUAUGACAAGGGCAUGUCAAGAUUACGCCAAAACCUAUAUGUGCGUUCGAAAAUGCUUAGACUUUAAUUUCGACAUUGCUCGUUCCGAUAGAAACUGUAAAUGUACAUGCUACAAACAUGCAGAAAAAGCGACAUUCACUAUGCCCCUUGCUGGCUUCACGAAUGGCUCUAAAUGGAAGUCGGGUCCUCCGACCACGACUAUUUUCGUUACGCCCAAGUUUCCUCCUACAUUUGAUGAUUCACCUGAAGAAGAAGAACGUGAAACAGACAAUGAAAAAAAUACGGAGAAAACAAGUGGUGAAAAAAGUAAAGAACACGGUUUGGACUCAGAAGGUAGCAAAGAAUCAGAUUCAAAUACGACCGAAGUGGAUGGUGGUAGUGGCGGUGGUGGCGGUGGUAAGCCGGUUACCGAUGAAAAUGGUAAUGUUGUCACAGGAGAAGAUGGACAAAUUAUUACUGAAAAAGAAGGAGGAGAAACCAAAGCGGAAGGGGAGGACGAAGGUAAACCAACAGCGCAAGAAGAGGAAGGGGGUGAAUCUCAGGCAUAGUGAAGUUAAACAUUUUAUAAAAUUUAUGCAUAGGUAGUUAAGUAUGAAAUUAUUCUACCAUAAACAUUAGAUAAAGUUAUCUGUUUAAUUAUUAUGGCGAGUUUAAAAAUUUAGCUCUUAAACUUUGGAAAUGAAAUACACAUUGAUUAUUUAUCUACGAAUAAGGUCGUUAAUGAAUAAAAUUUACCUCAGGAUC